UACAGAGGUCCAAAGCGUUGUUCGGAUUCACUGGGCGUAAAGGGUGCGUAGGCGGUUUGACAAGUCUGAUGUGAAAUCCCGCAGCUUAACUGCGGAACUGCAUUGGAAACUGUUUGACUAGAGGAAUGGAGGGGAGACUGGAAUACUUGGUGUAGCAGUGAAAUGCGUAGAUAUCAAGUGGAACACCAGUGGCGAAGGCGAGUCUCUGGACAUUUCCUGACGCUGAGGCACGAAAGCCAGGGGAGCAAACGGG
rnacentral:rRNA from 1 species